rnacentral:rRNA from 1 species
UACGGAAGGCAGCAGUGGGGAAUAUUGCACAAUGGGCGCAAGCCUGAUGCAGCCAUGCCGCGUGUAUGAAAAAGGCCUUCGGGUUGUAAAGUACUUUCAGUCGUGAGGAAGGUGUUAAGGUUAAUAACCUUAGCAAUUGACGUUAGCGACAGAAGAAGCACCGGCUAACUCCGUGCCAGCAGCCGCGGUAAUACGGAGGGUGCGAGCGUUAAUCGGAAUUACUGGGCGUAAAGGGCACGCAGGCGGUUAAUUAAGUUGGAUGUGAAAUCCCCGGGCUUAACCUGGGAAUGGCAUUCAAGACUGGUUAGCUAGAGUCUUGUAGAGGGGGUUAGAAUUCCAUGUGUAGCGGUGAAAUGCGUAGAGAUGUGGAGGAAUACCGGUGGCGAAGGCGGCCCCUGGACAAAGACUGACGCUCAUGUGCGAAAGCUGGGGAGCAAACGAGGAUUAGAUACC